rnacentral:rRNA from 1 species
CUACGGGUUGCAGCAGUGAGGAAUAUUGCACAAUGGGGGGAACCCUGAUGCAGCAACGCCGCGUGGAGGAUGACGCAUUUCGGUGUGUAAACUCCUUUUAUAUGUCAAGAAAAUGACGGUAGCAUAUGAAUAAGCACCGGCUAACUCCGUGCCAGCAGCCGCGGUAAUACGGAAGGUGCAAACGUUACUCGGAAUCACUGGGCGUAAAGGACGCGUAGGCGGGUUGGAAAGUCAGGUGUGAAAUCCUACAGCUUAACUGUAGAACUGCACUUGAAACUUCUAAUCUAGAGUAUGGGAGGGGGAGAUGGAAUUAGUGGUGUAGGGGUAAAAUCCGUAGAUAUCACUAGGAAUACCUAAAGCGAAGGCGAUCUCCUGGAACAUUACUGACGCUAAGGCGUGAAAGCGUGGGGAGCAAACAGGAUUAGAUACCCGCGUAGUC